UCUCGAGUUAUUGAUUUUCUUCCAGUCAUUCUACCGAUGACGAAUUUGUGUGGGUGACUUUUCAGGGACGUCUGGCGCAUCCUUGCAAUCGCCAACUCAAGGGACCAUUAUGCCUGAUGACUCGACUAGAGAGGUUAUUGAUGUCUUGGCUUUAUCUGAUCCACGUGUAACUCCUCCAGCGGUUCAGCUUGUCAAACCAAGAACAAAGAAGAUGACCACAAAGAGGCCAAAGUCAAGCAUUAUCUCGCACUUUCCAAUUUCAAAGAGACUAUCGACCGAGGCACAGACCAAGGCUACCAGUGUCUUGACCAGUUAUUCGGGGCUAACUCCCCCAGUUGACUCGUCCUCGGAUCCAACUUCUCAGAUUAAAGAUCCUGCUUCAAGCAUGCACAAAGAAGACCUGUAGCUCAAGGGAAAAGAAACCUCAAUAUCAAUUCCAACCAAUGACCCAUGGGUAGCGAUAAAGGUUCUUCUCUAAGUCACAGGUGCCCAGGUAGCUGCCGCCAAGGCCGACCACAAUAAGAAGCUCGAAGCCAAGAGGGAGAAAAUUGAACGCCUUGAGUCCUCCUGUAGCAACAAGGAAAAGUUUCUUGCUGACGCAAUGAAGAAGAGUGACGACGAUGUCAAAUAUCGGGAGAGACUCAGGAACCAGGUGAACAUCGUGCGAGCUGAAAGGAAAGCCAUGAUGACUGAAAAGGAUGCUGCCAUUACUCAGCGGGAUGCUGCUGUCUUGGCUCUUCAAGAGCUGAAGGAGCAGACACUCGACCACAUGACUCAAUCAGCUUCUGCAAGCGCCGUUACAUUGCUUGGUAUCCUCAAGAGUUACAAUCCCACGCUUGAUACCUCGUUGGUAACAGUCGGGUUUAAUUGUACUAGCGAGGAGGCCGCAAAAAUUAUCGAAAGCGUCCAGCCAGUAGUUCCAGCCUUUGUCGAGUCUUUGAGGCUUAGUUUGUCUAGUGAUGAUACUGAGGAGAGUACCUUAGACUGAUGGUCCAUCCUGUUCUGUCACUUGUAAGAUAUAUUUUAUGAUUUGAGAAUGCCCGCAACAAUGCUACACUUUGUCAGUCUA